CUGCAGACAUCUGGCCUGGGUCUUUGGCUAGCAAGGCUCUGUUAGGCCAAAGUUUCCAAGAGACUCAAUCCUCCUUGUCUGCCCUCUUGGAUCUUUCCUCCCCCCAGCCCCCACAACUAUUUAGAGCUCUAACUUGACAUUUUCUUAUUUUAUAUUGGCACACACCCAUGUAAAGCAAACAGAGCACACAGGAUGGAGGGGGAGGAGGAGGAGGUCAAGGCCCAUUUUGGAAUUAAAACCAACAGCCAGGGAAGCACAAGAGACCACGGUGGAUUUGGACAAGUUGAGCUGUGGGAGGAAGUGUCAGACAAGCCAAUUGUUUCCAGAUCUCAACAGGCUAGGGAAGGAGAAAGCGAACGUGGAGCUGAGCAGAAAGGCCAGGAUGAAGGAAUCACAGAGGUCAUAUGACUGAGUGGGUCCCAGGCUACCCAGGACAACUGUCAACUCGAAGCCUGUGUGCCUGAACGCCUAAGUCUUUGAAGUGUCCACUGAAUCCUGUGCACCGCAAAAGCCAUGACCAGAGAAAGAGAAAAAACCUCAUGGAACUAUCAACCAACUGAUAUGACACUCUCACAAAAUCCCAAGUCCUGAGGCAAAGAGAUAAAAUGCAAAAGGAGCGAGCCCCAGAGGCCAGAAGGACAUUAAUCCAGUAACGCUGAUGCUGCCCGAAACCCAUCUUUUAAAAAACGUAUUUGUCA
rnacentral:lncRNA from 1 species